rnacentral:lncRNA from 1 species
GCCAAUUGGACGCUCCCUCAAAACUUGAGGCAUCUGUGUGAGAAAACUGCACAAGUGGCUUUUUAUUGUCCCCAUCACAAGGUGAACAUGUGUAAUGAUUAUUCUGUUUAAUCAGCUUGUUGAUAUGCUCACCAGUCAGGUGGAUGGAUUAUCUUGGCAAAGGAGAAAUGCUCACUAAAAGGGAUGUAAACUCAUUUGUGCACAAAAUUUGAGAGAAUUAAGCUUUUUUGUGUAUGGAACAUUUCUGGGAUUUUUUUUAUUCAGGUCAUGAAACAUGGGACCAACAUUUUACAUAUUGCGUUUAUAUUUUUGUGCAGUGUAUUAGUUAAAUUCUGAAGAGGAAAUGAUGUGAGCAGUGGAAUGAACAGCUUGAAUGACCUGCAGGAAAUCUGUUGAGUUAUGAAGCCUUUCAGAACCCAUUGAGGAACUCCAGAGAGAAAACAGGUGCAGUGUCACCAGGAACAGAUGCCAUUCCUGGGGAUGGAGAGAUGGAUGGAUGGACUCAUGGAUAGAUGAACAUACAGACAGAAGGACGGAGGGAGGGGUGGAUGGAGAGAACCUGAACCCUAGGACCAUGCCUCAGGACUACCUGGCAUGAUGACUCCUUGUUGUCCCCAGUCCACCUGCCCGUGCUGCUGCUCCAGUUUCAACUGUUCUGCCUGCGGUUAUGGAACCCUGACCUGUUCACCGGACAUGCUACCUGUCCCAGACCUGCUGUUUUCAACUCUCUAGAGACAGCAGGAGCGGUAGAGAUACUCUCAAUGAUCAGCUAUGAAAAGCCAACUGACAUUUACUCCUGAGGUGCUGACCUGUUGCACCCUCAAAAACUACUGUGAUUAUUAUUAUUUGACCAUGCUGGUCAUUUAUGAACAUUUUAACAUCUCGGCCAUGUUUUGUUAUAAUCUCCACCCGGCACAGCCAGAAGAGGACUGGCCACCCCUCAUAGCCUGGUUCCACUCUGGGUUUCUUCCUAGGUUUUGGCCUUUCUAGGGAGUUUUUCCUAGCCACCAUGCUUCUACACCUGCAUUGCAGGUUUUAGGCUGGGGUUCUGUACAGCACUUUGAGAUAUCAGCUGAUGUAAGAAGAGCUAUAUAAAUACAUUUGAUUUGAUUUGUUUACUGUGUAGCAUUUAGCAUUUCUCACAGUGGAAUCUGAGGAAUUGGUGUUGGUUGUGUGCAUUUGCCAUUAUGUACAAUUUGAAAGACAUAACCCUAGACUCAUGUCUACACACUGGCUCAACUUCAACAAUAGUCUCAACCCUUACUCUAACCCCUACCAAAACAGAGACCCCAGGUACUGAGCCAAAGAGCAACUGUAUGGACUGUAUAGAUAGUAUUUCUUAUUUUGAAUGACAUUUCCCUUUUCAUUCUGAUUUGUCCUCCUGUCCUGGUGCCGAGACACACAGAGAUCCUGACAGAACUCCCUCCGUUAGAUGACUAUACACAUUUCAUCCCAGACAGAGAACACCAAUUUCCCUGCCGGGAUCAAGCCUCCUAACAACUCCAUACAGGUACCCGGGCCCGGUUUACCAAAGCAUCUUAAGGCGAAGUUCAUCGUUAGUUUCCCAAAACCAUCUCUAUUAACGCUCAUAAUCUAACGCCUGCCUCAGACCAGAACAGCUAAGUGCAUCGUUUUAUGCACAAUUUAUACACAAACACACUUUGUUCAUGCACACUUUUCUGUAGAAUCACAGUGUUUAUCCGUCUUUCCGUGACCGGCAAUAACUUCACAUCGAAGUUGACAAGAAAUACAAAUUUGCCAAUGUCUUUGCAAUUGUUACAAACAAGCGAAGGAUAAAAAUUUGCUUCAAAUGAAAACCGAGAUGACUGCAUUAAAAUAUGAAUUUCAUGUUGAUUCAAUUGAGUUUUAUUUUGCUAUUUGGCUACCGUCAAAUUUUUGUGUCAUUAUAUUUCAUGAUGUCAAUGUGCACGUUAGGCUAAACGUGACAAAUUUUGAUUUAGUGCAUUUUU